GCAGGCGCGAAACCUUUACACUGCACGACAGUGCGAUAGGGGGAUCCCAAGUGCACAGGCAUAGCGCCUGUGCUUUUCGGUACCCUAAGGCGGUACCAGAAUAAGGGCUGGGCAAGACCGGUGCCAGCCGCCGCGGUAAUACCAGCAGCCCAAGUGAUGGCCGAUCUUAUCGGGCCUAAAGCGUCCGUAGCUGGCCGUACAAGUCCAUCGGGAAAUCCACCUGCUCAACAGGUGGGCGCCCGGUAGAAACUGUGCGGCUUGGGACCGGAAGGCGCGACGGGUACGUCCGGGGUAGGAGUGAAAUCCCGUAAUCCUGGACGGACCGCCGAUGGCGAAAGCACGUCGCGAGAACGGAUCCGACAGUGAGGGACGAAAGCCAGGGUCUCGAACCGGAUUAGAUACCCGGGUAGUCCUGGCCGUAAACAAUGUCUGCUAGGUGUGGCUCCCACUACGAGUGGGUGCUGUGCCGUAGGGAAGCCGCUAAGCAGACCGCCUGGGAAGUACGUCCGCAAGGAUGAAACUUAAAGGAAUUGGCGGGGGAGCACUACAACCGGAGGAGCCUGCGGUUUAAUUGGAGUCAACGCCGG
rnacentral:rRNA from 1 species